UUUACCUAUCUUCUCCUACCCAUUUUCCUUACUACAACCCCAGUAACCCUAUAGAGUCAUCCGGUCGAUUUCCCUCGUUUUCCUUUUCUUUUCCGUUCCAUUUUCCUCCAUCUUCCUCUGACUAUCUUCCCCAUUUUUCGAUCUCAUCUCCCUUCCUCUUCACUCUUAAAUGAAAUGAAAGGAAAUUUACAUUUCCUUCCUUCUUUUUUCGAAGCAUCGGCCCUUGUUGUUCGUGUGCGAUUUUUGCCCUACUUUUCUCGAUUUUUUUGUCCCUGCCCUUGAAACCCAUUUCCGUUUUACAAUAGUGGCAUUUUGACGCUGCCUCCGAAACAAAACUCACCCUCUCUCACGGUUGUGUUUCGUUGAUCGAUUGCCUUCGUGUGUUACCUCCAAAACGUUUCUCAUCCUUUCUCCAUCUUUCCAAUGAACCCUUGCCGCUUCCCAUCCUUGACGGCCCAAGAACGAGUUCACUACACUUUUCUUUCGAUCGAACGACCAUUAAUGUCACAGAUGCUACACUUGCUUGGUGAACGAAAGCCGAGUAGGGGCACCAUGGCAGGGGUCGUCGAUGUACACCGAAGAUGAGACGUAUAUCAAAGUCAACGUUCCAGCAAGUGAGCGGGCUAGGUAUAGAACACACAAGGGGGAGGUCGCUACAAAUGUCCUUGGCCUGACACGAAAGUAGAUUCCGUUUAUGUACUUGUCGGUUAGGAAGGAUCAGCUGUAGACUCAUGCAUCCUUCGCGAUGUCAUUUCAAGACCUAAUGGCCUGAAGGUGUCCAAGGCAUGACAACUGCAUCAAGACUACCUAAGCACAAAAGAGGAAGAGGUAGACCUCGUCGAGUUAGUAAAUUCUGGUGGCUGGAGGUCUGACAAUAGAACCUUUCGUCCCAGGUACCUAAAUCAACUUGCGAGAAUGAUGGCCUUCAAGAUCCCAAAUUGUAACGUUCAUACUUCAACGAUCGAUAGGUGAAUAAAAUUGUUGAAGAGAAUGUUUCAUGUGCUAGCCGAGAUGCAUGACCUGACCUAUAGUGGGUUUGGGUGAAACGACGAAUAAAAGUGCAUCGUCGCAGAGAAAGAAGUGUUUAACGAUUAGGUCAAGUCAUCCGGCAGCGAAGGACCUCCUUAAUAAGUCGUUUCCCCACUAUAAAGAACGACCGUAUGUUUUUGGCAAAGGUCAUGCGACGGGAGCCCGGGCCGAGAUUUUUACAGAAGUUGGGUCUAAUGAUCCUGCUAGGUAUGAGGCAUUUGCCGCUAACGCUGCACCAGAUAUAGAAUUCCAGCCUAUGUACAAUCAGGGAUUGGUCAUGUCAUCUGACGAAUUAAUGGGAACAAGAGUCGCUCGGGUAAGUAAGGAUAGACAUGUUUCGAACGGGUCUAAGUAGAAACGUGGAGGACAGCUCACAGACAGUGGGGACGUAAUUCCGACUGCGAUUGAGUACGUAAAUGUACAACUUAACUGCAUUGCUGACGAGCCUGUCCUAGUUGGAGGCCAAACAUGACAAGAGUUCAUCUGACAGUUGAGGGUCAUCCCUGAGCUGACAUUGAUGAAUAGGUGUCGCUUAAUGCGUAUAGCGAUGUGUAAUGUGGACGACAUGAAAGCUUUCCUUGACGUUCCCGACAAAAUGAAGUUCCUGUACUACAACAUUAUUCUUAAGAAAACUCAUGACCACUUUAUUUUUUCUAUUUGUAUCAGUGGUUUUUCAAACUUUGACUAUUUGUUCUUCUUAUUACGUGUUUUUGUCUUCUUAUCGUAUGAACUUCUCUUUGUAUUCAAGCUUUUAUGGUAUGUAUUUUCGUUCUACUUUCAUA